GCUGUCCGCGUGCGCCUGACGGGUCCGCGCUGCCCGGACAAUGGACGGUCCGCGAGAGCUGCGACCGGCUGUUGUGGCGAUCACGUGCGGGAAAUCGCGCUCCCCACGGCGGGAGCGCCCGGCGCGGCGCUGGUUACGGCCACGUGUGAGCGAGGCGCGCGGGCGGGGCCCGGGGCGGAGCAGGCCGAGGCGCCUGGCGUGACCCUCGUGUCUGAGACGGCGGAGGCAGCAGCGCUGCGGGCUGCUCCUCGUGCCCCCGCCCUUGGAGCUGGUGCCUCAGCGAGGAGCUGCAGCCAGAAAGAAUUGGGGCAGAAGGGCUCCCAGGAGCUGUCAUUUCUGCAAGGGUCACUUCAGGCAAUCAGACGGGUGUGCGGGGCCUGCAGCGCUCCCUUGCAAAAAGCCAAGGCGCCACGGGUGACGGGUGAGUGUGAUUCUGCUUUGACACGCUCACUGGACACUCAGCUUCUGCCUGGAUGCACAUCAUCCAUGUGUCCUACUCCUACAGUAACACCUCCAGUGACGGCAGCUCUUGCCUCUAACUGCUGGUAGCACCUUCCAAAAACAAUGACCUGCACGUUGGUUCGCAGGAUGCUGGGGGCCCAGACCCCACAGAUUUUGUAUUCUCCCUGUCUGUGCCUGGACCAGGUGUUGAGCACUUUGGUCUGUGCAAACUUUGGCACUUGUUAGCCUUUGUCAGCCUCUCCUAGUCUCAUGCUUCCUCAGAAGGCUUCCAUGAGAUCCCUUGUCCUGUCCCAGUCUGCAGCAGGCCUGCACCACUGUUCCCCAGGUCCCUUUAGAGAGUUGUAGGGGAGGGGGGAGAAUGCUUCUUUGCUCCCUGCUCUUUGCUUCUGUCAGCUAUAAGCUGUUUAUCUGUUUUCGUUUCCCUUUUCCCUCUUCUUGUCUAUGCUGCAACUGCCCGGCCCCUCUGCUUCCCCUGUGGCUGCACCAUUCUUGCUGCAGCUGCCUUGAGUCCGCACCUGGGUUGCCCUAGGACUCCUCUCUGAUGCAUCACUUCUUCCCCCGGGCCAGGAGACGAGGGCAAGUACCAAAACUGGCCCUGUGUCCUCCCGGCUUCAGGCCCUUCCAGCGGGGCAUGGAGCCUGGAGGUAAAGGCAGGGAAGGGAGGGAAAGGCCUUUCAGUGCUGCCAACCUGUGACUAACGCUGAGCAUUGCAGCCAAGAGACAAAGGGCAGCAGGGAACUGGGUUUUCCUCUUCCCACCGAAAAGUGAGACCACCUGUACAUGACCCAUUUCUGCAGGGAAUGCCAGGGACAUCUGCUGGGCUGCAGAGGCCCUGGGGAAGGGCAGCAGAUUGGGAGCCCGCAGCAGGCAGCCUGCUGCCCUCUAUGCACAGAUCUGGGGGCAUGGGUACCUCCGUCCCUUGGAAGGACGCACAGCAGCAGGGAGCUGGCGCCCCACAAGCUGAGCCCACAGCAGGCAGGCAGUGGGUGGCGGGUGCUGGGCUUUGCUCCACUGAAGGAGCUGCUGCCUCCUGCCGGGGGCAGGGAGCUGUGGGCCUGGGCCGUGUAGCCCUGGCAAUGGGGUGCUCCCUCUGGCAGAGCUGGGGAGGUGAGGAGGGUGUGCGGGGGAGUGAGGGGCCUUUCACUUUAAUCAUGGAUUUUGGGGGGUUUAUGAGAGAAUUAGCAGGGAGGUUUAUUUAUUGGAGAAUAAGCAAUUUUUUAUCAGGGAAAACCAGGAUCUCUGGUCAUUAGAGCAGCGUGUGUGAGGUGGGUGCCCACAGCGUUACGUGGUGUGGGCUGCACACACGCUCCCUGGGCACUGCUGUGAGGCAGGGUCCCGGUGUCAGCCCUCUGCCUGCUGUGGACAGUGGGAGCGCUCCAACAGCAGCCUGGCUCCAGCACUGUUUUUCAAUCUGGGCAUGCGCAGCAGCUCUGAGUCUGUGUGUUUGGGUGGUCCCUGAGGGGGCCGGGGUGGAGCAAAAUGAGGGCACUGUGCAUGGCCCUCGUGGUUGCCAGGCCGGCGCUUGCCCAGCAGAGGCAGCGGUGCUGCGGGUGGGAUCUCCCAUGGGCACAUGCGGGGCGGGGCAUGGAGUGGCGUGCAGGGCAGGUGGGGGUUCUGUGCGCGGUGCCAUAACCUGGCCACUCCCUCCUCGAGCCUUGGAGCUGGUGCUUCUCCGUGCCACCUGCCCCCGGCCCUUCUACUCACCCCAUGAAUGAACAGUCACCGCUCUCCUGGGGUGGCCAGUGUAGCGAGGCUGCAUAGUGCAGCUGUGGCCAGCACGGUGGCGGUAUGGGUGGGAAGGACCCGGCGCUGAAUGGACCUGCAGGGAGCGGGUGUUUCGGUAGUGUUGUGGGGGGUAUUUUAGCAAAUAGAAACCUAGGAUUCUGGACUAGCCUAGGGAUUGGCAUGACACCUCACUGAAUGAGUGAUAGAAAGGCUUUAUUUACUACAAGUAUUCCAGGUCAAGUGAGCCCGAACCAAAGCAGAGUCCAGGAAUUAGUUAUAAGGUGAUGAUUUCUCACCAGACAGGCGUCUAUGAGGCGGUCUGUUUCUCUUCAGCUUCUCACAUAAGCUGGGCACGGCAGCAGUUGGUGUCACAGAUUUCUCACUAUUGAAGUGCGCUGUUAGCUGUUUCACUGGCUGUGUUAUACCCUUAGUCCCGCAUCUUCAAAGCACUCUUUUAGUUGUAGAAAUCAAGAGAGUCCCCAGCAGUGAUUGCCAGGAACAUCCUGUUAAUCAGCCUGCUCGUUGUUGGUACCAGAAAGUUCCAAUUGGACCAAAUGACCUUCCUCAGGGACAAGAGGUUAUUCAUUUCUAUGAAGUUUGGAACGUAGCUAGAAACUGAUUAACCACCAGGAAAAACCCACGUGUCCUUGGAAAAUGAGGUAAAUCACGAAAAAACAACAGAGACAAAACUAAAUCGGGGGGAGACACCUGUCCCAAACAGAGAAUGUCUCUUCUUGCAGAUAAACACGAGUUAAUUGCAAAAGAAAUAUUUACCAUACUAAGUAAUCAAAGAUAGACAUUUUACAUAAUUACAUGAAAUCCCAUGUCCUGUCCCAGUCUGCAGCAGGCCUGCACCACUGUUUCCCAGCUUCCUUUAGGGAGUUGCAAGGGAGCGUAGAGAAUGCUUCCUUGUCCUCUGCUCUUUGCUUAUAUGAGUUUUAAGGUGUCUAUCUGUUUCAGUUCCACCUUUCCCUCCUCUGUCUGUGCUCCCUGUGUCUUCUAUAUAUGCUGGACGUUGAUGUAAGCCAGGGGCUGGCAACUAUUUGGGCCUGUGGGCCACUGUGGUGGUUCUGGGGAGGUGCAGUUGGCUGGUCAGUGCUGCCCACCCUGAAUAGCCCAGAUCCCGUGUGCCCUGUGGUUCCUCCCCCUACUGCCAGCAGUGCGCAGCCUGAGCCCCAACCCCAGCCCACUCUGCACCUGCUCUGGACUUUCCCUGGCCAGAGCGGAUGAGCUGGAACAUGUGUGCAUAGCCCUCAAGGGAAUAGAAGGCUAAAUAUACAUCGUAAGAGAAACUUGUAAAAAAAAUACAGAACAGAUGUCCUGUACAUGACAAACACUUCCCUCACCAAACAUCCUAAGGUAUAGGGUGUUAAAAAGUCGGAACCAUUCAUUGAUUGUCUGGGGUUUGAAAAACAAACCAUCACUUGUACAAGCUACUGCAAAUGUGCCCGAUUGAUAUUGAAAUACCCCAAGACAGGUUUAGUGACACCUCUAAGUAUCCAGUCUGACUGCUCAGGCCCAUCAGCUGUAAAUUGACCUACAAUUACAGGGUCUGUAGAGAUGCACAAGGUUUACACGUAGACAAUGCAAGAACAGGAGUCGGGCAAUUAAUGGUUAUGGUGUGAUGAUAAACACCUUUUCCUCCCUGUUUGUUUGGACUCUAAUUGGCCAACUAUCAUGGAAAAAUGCUUUGAAGUUGUACAAUUCAAUAGUAUAAGAACAGAAUUUGCAAGGAAAGUGUGCGCUCCAGGAGAAGCCAAGAGAGAGAGAGCAGUGCUACAUCGCACCCAGCUUAACCAUCAAUGGAUCCUGCUUGGUCAAAGUUGCAAGAUGGGACCAGCAUCCUUCACCGGCAUUGGGGCCUGUGCAUCCCAGCCAAUGCCUUUGUACCUGGGUGGUGGUCAGACGGUGGCUCAGCAUGACUCCUUUGUAUCCUCUUCUCGAAGUUUUUCUACCAACAGUCCCCUGCAUCCUUGAGUACCCAGCAUACUGCAUCGCUCUGCACCAGCAUCACUUCCACCAAGAAGAUUGAGAUAGACUGUACCAUCAUGCCUGAUGGUACUGUUGUGACCACUAUCACCAUCAUUCAGUCCAGGCCCAAAGUGGACUGCAAGCUGGAUUCACCUUCAAGAUCUCUGUCCAAAGUUGUGGUGAUGGAGAAGACAGAGGUGCUUUCAGAGAGCAGCUGUCCCAGCAACACCUCACCCAGCAGCAUGUGCAUGUCCUUUGAUACCUGAGACCUUCCUUAGUAGCAAGAAGGUCCAUCUCUGGUGGCAAAAUAUAACUCAUUCUCUUGGCUGUUUUGUAUCCACUGUUGGAGAAGCUCACUUGAUUAACAUGGUCCUUUGUAGAAGGCAGGGUAGAUUUGCACCUUAUAGACAAACCAAACUGUACGUGUGUGUAAAUACACGCACACAGAGCACAAGGCUUUCAUGGGCUGAAACUCACUUUAUCUAAUUCUGUGUGUGCACGUAUAUGUUGUCUCUGUCUGGUUAGUCUAUAGGGUGCUAAAUUACUUGAUUUGAACCUAACAUGGCUAAGUGUCUCUCUGCUUACCAUCCUUUGCUUCAAACAAUACUUAAAAAUACCGGGGGAGGGGAGGUACGGGGUGGGGAGGAAGAUGGUGAGGAUGGAGUAGUUAACCUUGUUGUCAACUCUAAGUUAGUUGUCGCCGAUCUUGCAUAUCCAUAAGAGGGCUUUACAAAUUCUGUAUUCGUGAGUUGCUUCUCAGCCCUUGGCUAGAACAUAUUCUGUUAAGCAGGGCACGACGGCAAUUAGUUGGGAGUUCAGGGCCAGAAUUGAAACUGAAUUCCAUAUGCACCUGAAGCUUCAUGUGCCAAUUGCUCAGGAUGAAAUGGCACUUUCUCUCGGCUAUGCUGCAUCUAUGGAGGCAACAGUGCAUGGGGACUCUGUGGUUUCUAGCACUUACGAGCAGAUGCAGAACUCAGCUGAGGCAUCCCAGUUGCUGGAAGCAUCCUUCUCAGGACAGAGGUCCAAUCAGGAGCUAGAUGAAACAACACAAUCGGACAUCUCUGAAAGAUCGGACAUCUCUGGAAGAUGUUGAGUCUGAAACUGGCUCUACUGGAGCCCUUGAGACCAGGGGCUUAAAGGACCACAAAGGUGAGGACCAGUGUUGCUUGGAACAUGAGCCAGUCAGCCUUACAGACCUGAGUAUAGCGUGAUGGUCAUGUCUUGUGGCUGAGUAAGUGUCCGCUUGUGCAGUGGGUGAUGGUAACUUCAUUCCUUAUCUGUUUUGCUAAUCUACAAGGUGAUGUGCUUUAGGCAAGAUGGUUGUGAUUACUUCUGGAAGAUAUGUCAAAGCAGUCACUUUUUAGCGCACAAACAGCCAACCUGUGUUAGCAGCACAAAUUGCAGGAAUGGGACUUGGACUGGCAUGUUCUCCAAGUAGGUGCGCAAAUAAAAGGAGCAAGCAAGGUGCAGUGUCAAAUACAAGGCAAAUAUGAAGUCAGUUUUAAGACUUAUUUUACCAAGUGUCCAGUAUCAUAACUGCUAAAAGCAAUGGGUCAGUUGAGGGAGACCUUGCUACACAGCUUUUGGGAACUGGUGAAACUACUAAUUGUGUGAUGCAAGAUAGUAAUGUAGUUUGCCUAACCAAACAAAACAUGUCUGUGUAGGUGAAAUACUUACUGAUGGGGAGAGGCAAUAGUCUACAAAUGGCAUGUUGGGUUUUUUUGUUUUUGAGCUCUAGAGUCGCAAUGAAGUCAGCCUCGUGCUGCCUGGAAAUGCAAGUGCAGAUUUUAAAAAAAUAUAUAUAUUUAUUGAUUU